UUUAGGAGAAAAUAUAAAAACUAGAUUAGUAUUAGUUAAAUACUUAAAAAUUAAAAAAUUUGGCGGUGAUUUAAUCUACUCAGAGGAAUUUGUUUUUUAAUCGAUAAUCCACGAAGAAUCUUACUUAUUUUUGUUAAUUGUUAGUCAGUUUGUAUACCAUCAUUAUCAGAUAAUUCUAAAAAGAAAAAUUAUCAAACAUAUAUGAUUAUUAAAAUUAGAUCAUGGUGCAGCUUAUAAAUAAGGUAAAAUGAAUUACAAUAAAUUAUUUUAUAAUGAAUUAAUAAGAUAAUUCUUAUUAUGAAGGAGGAUUUGAUAGUAUUAUAAAUUUAAUAAGUUUAUAAGACAAUAGCUCUAAAUCAUGUACAUAUCGCCCGUCGCUUUCAUUUAUAAAUGAAAUAGUCGUAACAUA
rnacentral:rRNA from 1 species